GGGCGGAUGGUUUAGUGGUAUAAUACUCCCUUAGCAUAGCGCCUGGGAGUGGUCCGGGGUUCGAUUCCCCGUCUGUCCA